rnacentral:rRNA from 1 species
CCUACGGGUGGCUGCAGUGGGGAAUAUUGGGCAAUGGAGGCAACUCUGACCCAGCAACGCCGCGUGAAUGAUGAAGGUCUUCGGAUUGUAAAGUUCUUUUCUAAGGGAAGAAGAAAGUGACGGUACCUUAGGAAUAAGCCUCGGCUAACUACGUACCAGCAGCCGCGGUAAUACGUAGGAGGCAAGCGUUAUCCGUAAUGACUGGGCGUAAAGGGGGCGUAGGCGGCUUGACAAGUUAGUAGCGCAACCCCGGGGCACAACUGCGGAACUACUACUAAAACUGUUGGACUGGAGUGCAGGAGGGGAAAUCGGAAUUCCUAGUGUAGCGGUGGAAUGCGUAGAUAUUAGGAGGAACACCAGUGGCGAAGGCGGAUUGCUAGACAGUAACUGACACUGAGGCACGAAAGCGUGGGGAGCAAACAGGAUUAGAUACCCGUGUAGUC